UACGUAGGGGGCAAGCGUUAUCCGGAUUUACUGGGUGUAAAGGGAGCGUAGACGGCAUGGCAAGUCAGAUGUGAAAGCCCGGGGCUCAACCCCGGGACUGCAUUUGAAACUGUCAGGCUGGAGUGCAGGAGAGGUAAGCGGAAUUCCUAGUGUAGCGGUGAAAUGCGUAGAUAUUAGGAGGAACACCAGUGGCGAAGGCGGCUUACUGGACUGUAACUGACGUUGAGGCUCGAAAGUGUGGGGAGCAAAUAGG
rnacentral:rRNA from 1 species